UACUUUGGAAAACAGAACCCUAAAGUCUUAUUCUGAAACUCCACACAGCAAAACGACUUCUUUCUUUCUUUUUUUUUCCAGACAUGUUCCCUCAGACUUCAGCAGAAACAUGAAACACAAGAGAGGUUUUUUUUUUCUUUCUUUUAAAUCCACAGCUCCACAUCUGCUGCUGAUAUCUCCCACCGCACAUCCAGCACUCGUGGCUAAUAAUGGAUUCACCAGACGGAAAAUUAUCUCGCCAAACCAGUAGCUGCUGAGGCAGUGAAAUCACAGAGGGAACCUUUUCCAUCAACACUCAAGAAUUUGGUUGUUUCUGAGGCGGUUUGAGCGACAACAUCUGAGGAACUAUUAAAGAAUAAAACCUGAAACUUUCUCUGUUCAUCUGCAAGACUGGACGUGGAGAUGAAAUGAUCUGAUCACAGGUUUCCUGGUUCCUUCAGACGGUGGAGAACGAGGCAGUUUCAUUGUGUGGAAACGUUAUUUUCUUCAGAAGUCUGAUGUGUUAAAGCCUAAAGAUCGACUUCUAGAUAUUCUGUCUACAGCCAGAGUGUUCGGUCCUGCUCGGCUCCGUGGGUCACAAUGGACUUCCUGAGGCUCCUCUGCACCAAUCAGACGUCGGCGCUGAGCGACAACGUUGGGCCGACGCCAGCGGAGAGUAAACAGGAGGCCGAGCAGAGUGUUUGGACGAGACCCGCUGGUCUGCAGAGAUUGUCCCCAAAACAAACCUCCUUCUAUUCUGAGCCCAUAAAUCAGCCUGAGCUGGUUCGUCUCGACGGUACCGAUGCGUUCUGAGGUCAACAAAGCCACAAACCCACUGUGGAAAGUACAAUUACUGUAAAAGUUUACUCAAGUAAAGUUCUGACGUUUUUUUUU